UCCUUGAGAGUCCUGAAGGAGCGUUAAAGACGAUGACGUUGAUAGGUCGGGUGUGUAAGCGUAGCGAUACGUUGAGCUAACCGAUACUAAUGAACCGUGAGGCUUAACCUU
rnacentral:rRNA from 1 species